rnacentral:lncRNA from 10 species
CUCACAUAGAGAGAGUCACACAGAUCAGGAACCUUAAGUCCAGAAACCUUUUGUGCUGCCUAUGAAGUAUAGACCUAGUGUUUCAGCAACUGUGGAGCUGUCAUCAGCAAGAGAGGAAGGCCUAGAAGGAAAAAGAAUGAAUAUUCAUACAACAAAUGCCGCCCAGAGAAGCUGGGAAAAUAACUGAUAAACCAAUAUAUUUGGCUGAGGUAUUACACAUGAUUGAAAGAAAAAGACAUUAAAAUAUGGAUGGGUGGAAGGCAUUUCAGGAGGAACUAGUCACCAGAUGAAAUGGAACUAUACCAGAUUAUGAGAAAAUGAAGAUCAGCAGUACAGAAUCCUUGCCCUUCAAGAGAACACAGUCUACAUGGGGAGACAUUUGGCAAAACACUUUUCACCACUGUGUGAAAAAGCCAUGUCACUAUUUACACUGUUGUGCAGAAGCAACGGAAGGAAGCACAUUAGCAUGAACAAAUUGAGGCUGCUGCUCUGAACUGUACUAGUAGUGAUUGCAUUCUCCCAGGCACUUCCAAGGAGAGUGGGGAGCCAGUGUCACUUAAGAAUGCCUUGGUAAAGAAGUAAAAAUGGUCACUCCCAUUAAAUAUCAACCAUUAAGCUGUGGUUUUUUUUGUUUGUUUUUUGUUUUUGUUUUUUUAGCAAAGUAUGAUUGUUGCCUUGAGGACAAGCAUUUGUGCAAUUAUUUGAGUUGCAAGCUGAACUAGCUGAUCUUUUCACAAACUCAAUUUUUACUUGAAAGAAAGAUUGAUGGUCACACUAUGGUUAUUUAGAAUUGGUAUGUGACAUAUAUUUUACAAAAAUGCACUGAGCCCAUCAUUUCAAGAAAAAUACUAAUUGUUAUAAAUGAUAAAAUUAGCAGUUUCAAGUGAAUGUUGGAAAAUGUAUAUCUACUACCAUGAGCUUGACAACUUCCUAAUAUGUAAUGACUUUUCAUAUGUAUGGUAGUAAUAUUAAUGCACAUGAUGAUUUUGAUGUUGUAUAAUGAAAUGUAUCAAUGUUUGGGAGAUCUAUGUAACUCAGUAAGCUAGUCUUUUCCAAAUGAAUGCAUGAUAUAAAAUCAUUCAUAAGUAAAGGAUCCAUUCAAAAUGCUAGACAGACCAAUGAAUUUUAAUACAAGAGAGGACAAAAAGUUCAUUGAUGUGUUUCCAGAUUCCACAAUGCAACUACCUUUUAAGAAACAUUUGUCAAGUUUUGGUGUAAUAUCAAUAAAGAAUACCUGAAAAGGCUAUUAAAAUACUCCACUAUUGUCAAACUAUCUUUCAGAAACUGGAUUUUCUUCAUAUGCUUCACCUAAAACAAUAUAUUGAAAUAACAAUAUAUUGAAAUAAUAAAUAAAACAAUAUAUUGAAAUCUCUCUGAUUCUGCAUUCAUAUGGGAAUCCAGCUAUCUUCUGUCAAUCUAGAGCUUAAUAAUAUUUGCAAAAUAUGUAAAACAAUGCUGCACUUGUCACUACCAGUUUUGGAAAAUACAGUUGUUUUUCAUUCAAAAAGUAUUUCUAAUUUGUGAUGUGCUUAUUGCUAUUUUAAAAUGAAUUAAUAAAUAGCUUUUUAAACUU